rnacentral:rRNA from 1 species
UACGGAGGAUGCAAGCGUUAUCCGGAAUGAUUGGGCGUAAAGCGUCCGCAGGUGGCGAUGUAAGUCUGCUGUUAAAGAGUGAGGCUCAACCUCAUAAGAGCAGUGGAAACUACAUAGCUAGAGUACGUUCGGGGCAGAGGGAAUUCCUGGUGUAGCGGUGAAAUGCGUAGAGAUCAGGAAGGACACCGGUGGCGAAGGCGCUCUGCUAGGCCGUAACUGACACUGAGGGACGAAAGCUAGGGGAGCGAAUGGG